CGUGAUAAGGGGACACCGAGUGCCAGCAUCAUAUGCUGGCUGUCCAGGUGUGUAAAAUACACCUGUCAGCAAGGGCCGGGCAAGACCGGUGCCAGCCGCCGCGGUAACACCGGCGGCCCGAGUGGUGAUCGUGAUUAUUGGGUCUAAAGGGUCCGUAGCCGGUUUGGUCAGUCCUCCGGGAAAUCUGACGGCUCAACCGUUAGGCUUUCGGGGGAUACUGCCAGGCUUGGAACCGGGAGAGGUAAGAGGUACUACAGGGGUAGGAGUGAAAUCUUGUAAUCCCUGUGAGACCACCUGUGGCGAAGGCGUCUUACCAGAACGGGUUCGACGGUGAGGGACGAAAGCUGGGGGCACGAACCGGAUUAGAUACCCGGGUAGUCCCAGCCGUAAACGAUGCUCGCUAGGUGUCAGGCAUGGCGCGACCGUGUCUGGUGCCGCAGGGAAGCCGUGAAGCGAGCCACCUGGGAAGUACGGCCGCAAGGCUGAAACUUAAAGGAAUUGGCGGGGGAGCAC
rnacentral:rRNA from 1 species